rnacentral:rRNA from 1 species
GAUGAACGCUGGCGGCGUGCUUAACACAUGCAAGUCGAACGAAGCGCUUUGGAUGGAUCCUUCGGGUGACAGAAGGAGUGACUUAGUGGCGGACGGGUGAGUAACGCGUGGGUAACCUGCCUCACACAAGGGGAUAACAGUUAGAAACGACUGCUAAUACCGCAUAAGCGCACAGGACCGCAUGGUCUGGUGUGAAAAACUCCGGUGGUAUACGAUGGACCCGCGUCUGAUUAGCUAGUUGGUGAGGUAACGGCCCACCAAGGCGACGAUCAGUAGCCGGCCUGAGAGGGUGAACGGCCACAUUGGGACUGAGACACGGCCCAA